AGUGAACGCUGGCGGUAGGCCUAACACAUGCAAGUCGAACGGCAGCACAGUAAGAGCUUGCUCUUACGGGUGGCGAGUGGCGAACGGGUGAGGAAUACAUCGGAAUCUACUUUUUCGUGGGGGAUAACGUAGGGAAACUUACGCUAAUACCGCAUACGACCUACGGGUGAAAGCAGGGGAUCUUCGGACCUUGCGCGAUUGAAUGAGCCGAUGUCGGAUUAGCUAGUUGGCGGGGUAAAGGCCCACCAAGGCGACGAUCCGUAGCUGGUCUGAGAGGAUGAUCAGCCACACUGGAACUGAGACACGGUCCAGGCUCCUACGGGAGGCAGCAGUGGGGAAUAUUGGACAAUGGGCGCAAGCCUGAUCCAGCCAUACCGCGUGGGUGAAGAAGGCCUUCGGGUUGUAAAGCCCUUUUGUUGGGAAAGAAAAGCAGCAGGUUAAUACCCCGCUGUUCUGACGGUACCCAAAGAAUAAGCACCGGCUAACUUCGUG
rnacentral:rRNA from 1 species